rnacentral:lncRNA from 1 species
CUAGUACGAUAACUCUGAAAAUAGAAGAAGGAAGUUUUGGAACUCAGAAGUUGUUUUUACUGUUUUAAACUGGUGAUGAGGGACCUUGGGAGAGGCUUCAGGGAGGAAGGCUGAAUGGACAACUGUGGGGCUGCCAGGCUUAGAGUUUCCCUGCCGAGUAUGAGGCCCUCAGGGAUCCAGGGACACAGGAUAUGGUCCUGACUUCGUAUAAAUGCCACCUCCCAACCUCAGAUGGCACUGAUACAGGUGUGUGAUGGCCUGUCCUUUUUCUUCUCUGCAGGUACUUGUGUCCUAUACAACCUUCAUGCGGACAAUAGAACUUGUGUGUAGCAAAGAAGUGGCUCUCUUGUGGGCCACAGGAUCCAGCUCUGUCUGAGGGGACACCUUGUGCUCUGACCCUCUAGCACUGACCAUGUCCAUGCCCACUGAGGGCACCCCACCACCCCUAAGUGGUACCCCCAUCCCAGUUCCAGCUUACUUCCGACAUGCAGAACCUGGUUUCUCCCUCAAAAGGCCUGGGGGCCUCAGCCGGAGCCUUCCACCUCGGCCCCCUGCCAAGGGCAGCAUCCCUGUCAGCCGUCUAUUCCCCCCUCGGACCCCCGGCUGGCAGCAGCCCCAGCCCCGGAGGGUGUCUUUCCUGUGCGAGACCUCAGAGACGUUGCAGAGCCCUGGGUACGACCCGAGCCGGCCAGAGUCCUUCUUUCAGCAGAAUUUCCAGAGGCUCAGCCGACUGGGUCAUGGCUCCUAUGGAGAAGUCUUCAAGGUAAAUGAAGGGUGGUUUCCCAGGCUUCUCCAGGGAGCCUCUGCCGUGGGGUCCCCUCCCCCAUCGGUGGGAUAGUGUCCUAGGCAUCCUGCUGCCCUUUUUCUCUGACAGCCUGCCUCUCUAGGGCUAACAGCCACUUCCCCAUCCCAAGAUUAAGUGCCUCCGAGAGCCGCCUCGUGCACACUGGCCUUGUGUCCAGGCCCUAGCACAGCGCACAGCAGGUCUCCGCUCUGCCUAGAGAUGGCUGUGCUGGGCUCCAUGACUGGUCUGUCU